UACGGGGGGGGCAAGCGUUGUUCGGAAUUACUGGGCGUAAAGGGCUCGUAGGCGGCCAACUAAGUCAGACGUGAAAUCCCCAGGCUCAACCUGGGAACUGCGUCUGAUACUGGAUGGCUUGAAUUCGGGAGAGGGAUGUAGAAUUCCAGGUGUAGCGGUGAAAUGCGUAGAUAUCUGGAGGAAUACCGGUGGCGAAGGCGGCAUCCUGGACCGACAUUGACGCUGAUGAGCGAAAGCUAGGGGAGCAAACGGG
rnacentral:rRNA from 1 species